UUCCAGACUCCUACGGGAGGCAGCAGUGGGGAAUAUUGCACAAUGGGGGAAACCCUGAUGCAGCGACGCCGCGUGAGUGAAGAAGUAUUUCGGUAUGUAAAGCUCUAUCAGCAGGGAAGAAAAUGACGGUACCUGACUAAGAAGCCCCGGCUAACUACGUGCCAGCAGCCGCGGUAAUACGUAGGGGGCAAGCGUUAUCCGGAUUUACUGGGUGUAAAGGGGGCGCAGACGGCGAUGCAAGCCAGGAGUGAAAGCCCGGGGCCCAACCCCGGGACUGCUCUUGGAACUGCGUGGCUGGAGUGCAGGAGGGGCAGGCGGAAUUCCUGGUGUAGCGGUGAAAUGCGUAGAUAUCAGGAGGAACACCGGCGGCGAAGGCGGCCUGCUGGACCGCGACUGACGUUGAGGCUCGAAAGCGUGGGGAGCAAACAGGAUUAGAUACCCGAGUA
rnacentral:rRNA from 1 species